rnacentral:lncRNA from 1 species
GUGUGAGAACUAUUCUGAAUCAUCCGCUCAACCAUUUUAUCACCAAGCGUUCUCAACGAUUCCGCGAAUCUAAGUGCUUGGAAAUUAGCCAAGCAUCUAAGAUCCUGGACAUUAGGAGGAACUGCAUGAGCCAGCCUAUUGGAGAAAGGUGCAAUUCUUACAGCCCUGCAAAUAUAAAUUAGGAAACAGUUGGUUACUAAAUUAAGAUCAUUAGUACCUACUGAUUCUAACUGAUACUUUCAGGAGGAACAAAACUGAGAAAUAGGAAAAUGGCAUGCCUCAUCUCUUUGAGCUUGGGAAGCACCUUCUGGAGAUAGUAAGUGGGACUGGACCAUCCCUUUACUCUUAGAUUUACAAUGCUGCUUAUAUUAUUAUGAAACUGCUCAAGUACAUCUUUCGGGAGUUGACGAACUACAUUCACAUUAUUCUUCAGGGCAUCGAUGAAGAAAUCUUCAUCAAAUAUGUCUCCAAAUUUGCUGUAACACGUAGAUAGUACUUAUUUAGAAAAGCUUACAAAACAUACAUUAAUAAAAAAUUAUAUCGACAUACGUAAACAACUGCAUCAAAUUAGUAGCCCUGCAAUCACCUGG